rnacentral:rRNA from 1 species
UACGUAGGGAGCAAGCGUUGUCCGGAAUCAUUGGGCGUAAAGCGCGCGUAGGUGGCCCCAUAAGUCCGCUGUGAAAGUCAAAGGCUCAACCUUUGAAAGCCGGUGGAUACUGUGGGACUAGAGUACGGAAGAGGCGAGUGGAAUUCCUGGUGUAGCGGUGGAAUGCGCAGAUAUCAGGAGGAACGCCAAUAGCGAAGGCAGCUCGCUGGGACGUUACUGACACUGAGGCGCGAAAGCGUGGGGAGCGAACAGG